GACGAACGCUGGCGGCGUGCCUAAUACAUGCAAGUCGAACGAGAGCGCCCGGUGCUUGCACUGGUCAAUCUAGUGGCGAACGGGUGAGUAACACGUGGGUAACCUGCCCAUCAGAGGGGGAUAACAUCCGGAAACGGAUGCUAAAACCGCAUAGGUCUUCGAACCGCAGGGUUUGAAGAGGAAAAGAGGCGCAAGCUUCUGCUGAUGGAUGGACCCGCGGUGCAUUAGCUAGUUGGUGAGGUAACGGCUCCCCAAGGCCGUGAUGCAUAGCCGACCUGAGAGGGUGAUCGGCCACAUGGGGACUGAGACACGGCCCAAACUCCUACGGGAGGCAGCAGUGGGGAUUCUUCCGCAAUGGACGCAAGUCUGACGGAGCAACGCCGCGGGAGUGAAGAAGGUUUUCGGAUCGUAAAACUCUGUUGUUGGGGAAGAACAAGUGCUAGAGUAACCGUGAGCGCCUUGACGGUAUCUAACCAGAAAGCCACGGCUAACUACGU
rnacentral:rRNA from 1 species